GUAUAAAUACCGCCCUCUCUCUUCGUCACAUCCUCUUUCCGCUGCUCUUCUCGCUUUGAGAUACUCAUCCACACGAUGAGAGCCAAGUGGAGGAAGAAGCGUAUGCGCAGGCUGAAGCGUAAAAGGCGAAAGAUGAGGCAGAGGUCUAAGUAAACCCUCAUCCCCGCCAGCUGUGACCCCGUUGGAGCCUCUCCAGUUGACCGACUCGUGUGGCUGAAGUGGAGCCUCAUCAAUGGAACGGAGGCCUGAACCCUGAUUUCAGAUGACUGCGCAUCUCAUGGGGCCUGCUGUGAAAGUCUGACUGGAAAAGGCAAAGACGCUGGACAACCGACAUCUGAACCACAGCUGCUUUGUUCAUGGACCAUAAUACAUAUUGUUUACCAACAACUGUCAUGUGGUGUUGUAUUGAACAAUAAAUGAACACUGUUUAAAAUUUG